UGAUUUAAGAGGCAACCUGUUAUUGGACAAGGAAAAUAAUAGAAGAGCAAAAAAAAAUUAUCAUCGAUUGAGUUCAAAUUUUUUUUUUUUUUUUUUUUUUUNUUUUUUCUGUCUCUCUCUCUCUUUCUCGCGACAGAAGUCCCGAAUCGACUUUGGAAGAAGAUAGAAUCGAAUGAUAUGUAAUCAGAGGAGUUUGGGCUCGGAGGUGAUGCGUAGCAGAGGAGAUUGAAUCGGCGGAGGUGAUGCGUAGCGAAGGAGAUUUCGCGAUUAGUUACUUUCUACUGGUGGAUUAGAUGGUGUUGUUCAGAUCUUUGAUGCUUCAUCAGGAGAUUUUAAAUGUGUUUUGGACGGUCCCGGUGGUGGAAUCGAAUCGAGUUUUGUGUUCUGUCGCUUGGUAGUGUCACAAUUUAUGUUCCUGAUCACCCAACAAACAUGUUUAAGAAUCUUUAUGUAGGGACACAAUAUUUGAUGAGUUUUUCUUGGCUCACAUCUUUGGAUGGUGGGGAAAAGCAAUUCUGAUCCGGAAUCAGCCACUUCUGUGGGUGCUUUCAAUUGGUUUUGAGUUAUUGGAGCUUACUUUUCGGCAUAUGUUACCAAAUUUCAACGAGUGCUGGUGGGAUAGUAUUGUUCUUGAUAUCUUGAUAUGCAAUUGGUUUGGGAUCUGGGCAGGAAUGUAUACAGUAUGAUACUUUGAUGGAAAAACAUAUGAGUGGGUUGGCAUUUGCCGCCAGCCUAACAUUAUUGGAAAAGUGAAAAGGACACUGGGGCAGUUCACACCAGCUCAUUGGGACAAAGACGAGUGGCAUCCGCUGCAGGGACCUUGGCGUUUUAUUCAAGUACUCACUCUUUGCAUAGUCUUCUUGACAGUGGAGCUGAACACGUCUUUUUGGGUAACUAAACGACAACAAACUGGUGGGAACUAUCCCACCUGAGCUUGGGAAGCUAGAGCAAUUGUUUUGGCUGUUUUACUUGCAGUGAUGUAUCAUUCAAUCUGCUCUCCGGAGUUAUUCCCUUUGAAGUUGGCCAACUACAGAAUCUAAACUCUUUAAUAUUGAACAACAACAAGCUUCAUGGGAAAAUUCCAGAACAGUCUUUGCAACAACAACAAGCUUCAUGUUUAUUUUUAUGUUUUAAUGUUUUCAAUGUUUAAAAUUUUAUGAAAUGCAAUA